AUGGCGCCCACGGCGGCCGGAGCCCGACUGCCCCUGUCGCUGACCGUCUUCAUGGCGGUCGCGACGACCAUGCUGCUGGCGCCCGCGGAGGCUGGCCUGUACGGCGACCGUGACGCGCUCAUGGCCCUGCGGAGAGGCCUACAGGACCCUGACGGCGCGCUGCGUUCCUGGAGCCCGGAGCUGGGGAACAUGAACCCCUGCAUCAACUGGUCCCACGUCACCUGCGACCGCGUGGCCAACCGCGUCACCGAGAUAGUAAUCGGGUUUGUGAACCUGUCCGGACCUCUGUCGCCGGAGCUGGGCAAGCUGGGCCAGCUAACCAAACUGUGGAUUUCGUACACCAAUAUCCAAGGAACAAUCCCUGAAGAGCUGGGCAACUUGGAGAACCUGAACUCCAUGCACCUGCACAACAACAGCCUCUCGGGGCAGAUACCCGCAUCGCUCGGGAAACUCAAGUCUCUGAAACAGCUGCACCUUCAACAGAACCGCUUGACCGGCCCGAUCCCCAGCGAGCUGGAUGGGCUGUCCGACCAGACGAGUGUGAAUCUCUCAAGCAACGAUCUGUGCGGCCCGAUUCCGACAGAUGGUCCCUUCAAGAACAUGAAUUCCAGCCUCGCCGACAACCCGCGGCUGGGCGGCAACUGCUAG
rnacentral:rRNA from 1 species